UUUUUUUUUUUUUUUUUUUUCCCAUAAUUAUUUGCUUGUGUUCUUUUGGUUCUGGCACAUAGAAAAGAAGGUGCAGAGAUAUUUUGUGCUUGCAUUAAGAGAUCUCCUCUCAAAUGUACCCGUUAAUAUGCAUUGCCAAUUUAGUUGUUUGAACAAUAUUUACUGAACUAUUUUGAGCAGGUGAACAAACAAGGAAAUUUU
rnacentral:misc_RNA from 1 species